rnacentral:rRNA from 1 species
GACGAACGCUGGCGGCGUGCCUAAUACAUGCAAGUAGAACGCUGAAGAGAGGAGCUUGCUCUUCUUGGAUGAGUUGCGAACGGGUGAGUAACGCGUAGGUAACCUGCCUUGUAGCGGGGGAUAACUAUUGGAAACGAUAGCUAAUACCGCAUAACAAUGGAUGACACAUGUCAUUUAUUUGAAAGGGGCAAUUGCUCCACUACAAGAUGGACCUGCGUUGUAUUAGCUAGUAGGUGAGGUAACGGCUCACCUAGGCGACGAUACAUAGCCGACCUGAGAGGGUGAUCGGCCACACUGGGACUGAGACACGGCCCAGACGCCUACGGGAGGCAGCAGUAGGGAAUCUUCGGCAAUGGGGGCAACCCUGACCGAGCAACGCCGCGUGAGUGAAGAAGGUUUUCGGAUCGUAAAGCUCUGUUGUAAGUCAAGAACGAGUGUGAGAGUGGAAAGUUCACACUGUGACGGUAGCUGACCAGAAAGGGACGGCUAACUACGUG